rnacentral:rRNA from 1 species
GCGAGAAAAGGGGGGCAACUCCCUGAGUACAGCGGCGCACGGGUGAGUAACACGUGGGUAAUCUGCCCUGGAGUGGGGAAUAACACCGGGAAACCGGUGCUAAUACCGCAUACGAUCGCGGAGUCUGCGGAUUUUGCGAUGAAAGGAGCAAUUCGCUCUAGGAGGAGCCCGCGGCUGAUUAACUAGUUGGUGAGGUAAUGGCUCACCAAGGCUACGAUCAGUAUCCGGUCUGAGAGGACGGUCGGACACACUGGAACUGAGACACGGUCCAGACUCCUACGGGAGGCAGCAGUGGGGAAUUUUUGGCAAUGGGGGCAACCCUGACCAAGCAACGCCGCGUGGGUGAUGAAGUCUCUUGGGACGUAAAACCCUUUCGACGGGGAAGAAACCGCAAGGUUGACGGUACCCGUAGAAGAAGCCCCGGCUAACUCCGUGCCAGCAGCCGCGGUAAUACGGGGGGGGCAAGCGUUGUUCGGAAUUACUGGGCGUAAAGGGCGCGU